GGGGAUUUAGCUCAGUGGUAGAGCACUUGCCUAGCUAGCACAAGGCCCUGGGUUCGGUCCCCAGCUCCA
rfam:Rattus norvegicus chromosome 12, whole genome shotgun sequence.